rnacentral:lncRNA from 1 species
CUUUUCCCUUUCUGCCCUCUGCCAUGUGAGGUCACAGUGUUCCUCCCUCCUGAGGAUGCAGUGUUCAUGAAAGCAAACACUGGGCCCUCACCAGGCAACAAACCUGCUGGUGCCUUCAUCUUGGACUUCCCAGCCUUCGGAACUGUUAAGAAGCUCCACUGCGCUUUGUCCAUUGCAAGUUGAGAAGUGAGGCCCCAGCUGUCACAUACAGUGAGUGAAGAAGCUGAGCUUCCCUCAACGCCUGGGCCUGUAUGAAUUUUUUUUUUUUUUUUUUUUUUGGAGACGGAGUCUCACUUUGUUGCCCAGGCUGGAGUGCAAUGGCACUAUCUCAGGCCACUGCAACCUCUGCCUCCCAGGUUCAAGCGAUUCUUCUGCCUCAGCCUCCUGAGUAGCUGGGAUUACAGAAGUGCACCAUUACAGCUUGCUAAUUUUUGUAUUUUUAGUAGAGAAGGGUUUUCACCAUGUUGGCCAGGUUGGUCUCGAACUCUUGGCCUCAGGUGAUCCGCCCGCACAGCCUCCCAAAGUGUUGGGAUUACAGGCGUGAGCCACUGCGCCCGGCCUUAGGUAAGUUCCUUUUUUUUUUUUUUUGAGACGGAGUUUCACUCUGUUGCCCAGGCUGGGGUGCAAUGGCAUGAUCUCGGCUCACCGCAACCUCUGCCUCCUGGGUUCAAGCAAUUCUCCUGCCUCAGCCUCCUGAGGAGCUGGGAUUACAGGCAUGCACCAUCAUGCCCGGCUAAUUUUGUAUUUUUAGUAGAGACGGGGUUUCUCCAUGUUGAGGCUGGUCUCAAACUCCUGACCUCAGGUGAUUCACCCGCCUCGGCCUCCCAAACUGCUGGGAUUAUAGGCAUAAGCCACCGCGCCCGGCCUUAGGCUCCAUCACAAGAGGGAGCCCCAUUGCUAGUCCCCAUCCUCAAAGCCUCUGCGUGAUGUUGUCUACUGUUACUCUUCACUACCCUGUGGGAGCCAAAGCCCUGGACAUAAGAACAGAAGGCAAUGGUGGCUGAGAGGAAGAACUGACACCUUUGUGCUAUCAGAGCACUUUGCAGAGGAGCUGUUAGUGGCCCUGUAGGAGUCUGCUGGCCAUACAUCUGGGUGUCAAAUCAAGAGAGCAUGAGAAGUUGGACAGGAAAGGUCCAAGGCAAAAUGGUUACUAAAGGCCAUCCCUGAUCCUGACCCUAAAAGAAGAAAAGGCCCUUUGCUCUUGGCAUGCUUUUGCAGGAGUGUCUCAGUCUGUUUGGGCUGCUAUAACAUUGACUGGGUGAUCUGCCUGCCUGGCCUCCCAAAGUGCUGGGGUUACAGGUGUGAGCCGCUGCACCAGGCCUUGAGGUCAGGAGUUCGAGACCAGCCUGGCCAACAUGGUGAAACCUGUCUUUACUAAAAAUACAGAAAUUAGCCAGGCAUGGAGGCGCAUGCCUGUAAUCCCAGCUACUGGGGAGGCUGAGGCAGGAGAAUCGCUUGAACCCAGAAGGUGGAGGUUGCGGUGAGCCCAGAUAGUGCCAUUGCACUCUAGCCUGGCCAACAAGAGUGAAACUCUGUCUCAAAAAAUAAAUAAACAAACAAACAAACAACAA